AAUCAACGCUGGCGGCGUGCCUCAGACAUGCAAGUCGAACGAUUAAAGCUCUCUUCGGAGAGUGUAUAGAGUGGCGCACGGGUGAGUAACACGUAAGUAAUCUACCCUCGAGUGGGGAAUAACAACCGGAAACGGUUGCUAAAUACCGCAUAAUGCAGCGGCACCGCAAGGUGACAGUUGUUAAAGAUUUAUCGCUUGAGGAGGAGCUUGCGGCAGAUUAGCUAGUUGGUAGGGUAACGGCUUACCAAGGCUACGAUCUGUAACCGGUCUAAGAGGACGGUCGGUCACACUGACACUGAAUAACGGGUCAGACUCCUACGGGAGGCAGCAGUCGGGAAUUUUGGGCAAUGGGCGAAAGCCUGACCCAGCAACGCCGCGUGAAGGAUGAAGUAUUUCGGUAUGUAAACUUCGAAAGAAUAGGAAGAAUUAAUGACGGUAC
rnacentral:rRNA from 1 species